rnacentral:misc_RNA from 1 species
UCCGAGUUGACCCCGGCAGUCUCCCACGAGUCCCCACCAUCACGUGCUGGCAACAUAGGAUAAGGGUUGCGCUCGUUGCGGGACUUAACCCAACAUCUCACGACACGAGCUGACGACAGCCAUGCACCACCUGCACACAGGCCACAAGGGAACCGACAUCUCUGCCGGAAUCCUGUGCAUGUCAAGCCCAGGUAAGGUGGGGAUGACGUCCUUGCUAGGUAA